UUACCUCGCUAAUGUUCGGAUUUGUUACCAAUGAUGCAAGUAAUUAGUCAGAGUAACAAAGUAACGACUAGUUGUUAAGUUAAAAGGUAGAUUUAAUAUUCCGGAUAUGAGCGAGGAAUGUACGGCGAGCGGCGGACGGCUGAGUAGCGCGUAGGAACAUACCUCAAAGUGAGGCAUAACCGCCCGAAAGGGUGGCUAAUACCGCAUAUUGUCUUCGGAUGAAAGCUUUUAGCGCUUUGGGAAUGGCCUGCGUUUGAUUAGCUAGUUGGUGAGGUAAGGGCUUACCAAGGCGAUGAUCAAUAGCUGGUUUGAGAGAAUGAUCAGCCAGACUGGAACUGAGACACGGUCCAGACUCCUACGGGAGGCAGCAGUUGGGAAUUUUCCACAAUGGGCGAAAGCCUGAUGGAGCAACGCCGCGUGCAGGAAGAAUGCCUUCGGGUUGUAAACUGCUUUUAUGUGCGAAGAAUAUGACGGUAGCAUAUGAAUAAGGGUCGGCUAACUACGUG
rnacentral:rRNA from 1 species